CACAAUUUGGCCUAAAAUUGAAUUUCUCUGAUAAGGAAUUUCAGAAGCGGCUUGUCUCAUUCACUCAGCAGCAAAAUAAUCAUAUGCGCUUUAAUAAUCUUUAUUUUACAGGAGUCCGUUGCCAGGGUAACGGAGUGUAAGCAGGAGAACAGCACCUUGCAGAUCACAAAGGCAAAUCUGCAGAAAGAAAUUUCAAAUUCCAAAAUAUGUUUGGCUGUAUCAAAGAAGAAGGAGGUAACUCACAGUAUUUCAACCAACAUAGACCCCAUAGUUAGUUCGGCCCUGCUUCCACAGUGCAUCAAGUUACUCUGGAAAUCUCCAUCUGGGCCAGUUAUUCUGUGAAUCUUUCGUUUCUGAGCGCCCGCCCCUGGCUCAGCGCCCAGUGCCAACAGAACACCUUUCAGGAUCCACAGCAAAAUAGACAACUGAGGCACCACAGAGGAAAAUGACAGAGCAAGACCUCAAGAAUCAAGGGAUAUCUAAAAAGCAACCAAGUCAUCAGUUCCAUGGCUAGAUAAACGGGGAACAAGUUCGAUCAAGAAAGUCUUAGAACCAAAGAUAAACGAUGGAGAAAAGAACAUCUCCCAAUUACAAAUGGACUUAGAGAUGCUUUCAUCUGGAACUUUACACCAAUCAGAAAUAAUACUGGAACGGCGAAAUGCAAAAACCGUGUAUCUUCAAAGCAAGAUCCUGCUCCAACAUGAGAAGAGGGAUGGCCUGGCAGCCAAGCUGGAUGCUCAGGAGCAGAGGAUCUAUCAACGGCAGACCAAGCAGAGGGAGACGCAGGCUGAAUUGGAGCAGAAAUGCAGCCAGAUCCAGCGGCUCAGGCAGGACCUGGAGGCCAGCAGCUGACUCCAAGUGGAGCGCCACAGGCAGUUUGUGGAAUGUAGCAGACAACUUACACAGGAAGAGAGUGAAAAGAGGUCUCUGAGAAUCCAAAAGCUGGAGCAAACACUCAGAUUAAGAAAUUUACAACCGAUUUAAUCUCCUAUAAAACCUUAUCUAAAAGUUAUCAGCACAGACCUCUGUUAUGACUAAGCAAUUGUCAUACUGAGGAAGGAGCUAGCUUCAAACCAGAGGGAACUGGAGGAGAGGCUAGAAGAUACCAGUAUGAAUGGCAAAACACCACAAUGCACCAGAUGAGGGCAGAGCUCCAGCAUGUUCAACUGGUGAUUUUUGUCCUAAUGAUGAUUCUUCAGUGAGCAAAAAUAUGGCCUCCAAAUUCCUCUUUGUCUUCCUGAUUGACAGGCAGAAGAAACAGAGAUUCAGCUGGAUGAGGAUAAUGUGGAGGCCGCUAUGAUGAGGAGCAGAUACACACAUCCAGACACCAAAAGAGGUAACGCUUGUGGUCUGAUGACUAAGAGAUCUCCGAUGUAGGAGAAUCAAAUCUUCUCUCUUUCCCUUUUCUCUACAUACUUUUACCAUUGCUAGCCAUUAGUCAGCAUUCUGAGAAGCAGCCCUCAUCAUCUUUACACUGGACAGGUCUGUUCCCAACAUACUCUGUUGGGUAGCCUGUUGAAAAGGCUUGAAAUUCAAAAGAUAAUUGACCUAAAUUCCCAUCAUGCGUGUACAGCCUGGUGAGUCAUCACCAGGUAAAGAGCUUCCAUUGAUUUCAAAGUGAAUCUCCCACAUGGCGGAGACAUGGGAGGAGGGUCUUGUGGGGAGGGAGAAGCGAGGCAGGUGAAAUUAAAAGUAAUUUAGAUUUUAUUUGAAUUUCUAUCUGUAGGUUACGAAAAUACUCAAUGUAAAUGGGUACCAGGAGGCUACCAACUCUAACUCAGAUUAAAUCGGAUGCAAAGUUGAUUUAUAGGUCAGAACACUUUAAAAUGAUUAUGACUUUUCUGGUUCCACAGAAAUCAUAUUAUAAUGAUGAGCUGGUGUUUUUAUGGUAUUUGUGUUCUAGUCCACAACACACGCAGAACUAACUGAAAUUUCAAAUGCAUAUGGCUGGAAGAAAUGAUGCUGUAAUGACCUAAUGCUCCUCAAUUUCACCUGUUAAUUUUCUUAAUCCCCAAAACAAUGCCAGUUUCAUUUUCCCAUUUAGAGAGGCAAUGUCAGAGGGGCUUAAUGGUGACAUCAUGUACCCUCAAGGCCUUUGUAUUGAUGUUUUCCCCAAAGAAGACCUCUGAGACCAUCUAGUAUAACCCCUUCAUUUUGUAGUUGAGAAAGAUUGAGUGAUUCUAUUUCCCAAAGUCAUAUAAAUAGUAAGUCAACGGCAGAUUUUUAACCCAGGUCUUCUUUACUCCAAAUACAGAAACACUUAGGAUUUUCCAUGGAUAGACAACUGGGCCUGGACUCAAGAAAACCUGAGUUCAAAUCCAGCUUCAGACAUUCACUACCUAUGCGACCCUGGGCAAGCCACUUAUCUCUGCUAGCCUCAGUUUCCUCUAAUGUUAAGUGAUGAUACUAACAACAUCUACCUCCUAGAGCUAUUAUAAGGAUCAAAUGAGAUAAUAUUUAUAAAGUUCUUAGCACAGUGUCUAUAAUAGAAGCUUAAUAAAUUUUUGCUCCAUUUCUUUUCCCCUUUCCAUUGUACCAUGCCUUCUUAAACUAUUUGAAACAUAAAUUAGAGCUUUGAUGACAUUCUUAGGCUGACUGGGUGAUGUGCAGGUUUGAUUCUUUAGACUCUGCAGGCUCAUGGAAACUCUAAGUGUUUUAUAUUUUAAAUGUCCAAUGCCUUUCCUGCUCUUAGAAAUCUAACCUCUCAUAGUGUGGCCAUUGGUUUAAGAAUGCAUCUUUGUUGCAAAAAGCUAAAAUAGAUUCAAAUAAUCCCCUUGGAACUUUAACUAGUUUCUAUCGCUUUCUGCCUUUAUUCUAAAAAUCAACAUUUUUGCAAUCACUUUAGGGCAUUUCCAGAAACAUACUUGGCAAUGAAGUUCUAACACAUUGUAUAAAGUCAUAUGGAACAAAUAUGAACUUUCUCUGCUUAGCAGAUUAGUUAAAUUGUGAAAAAGAUCAUUCUCUAUUUUAAAUUUGGAUCGCUGUGGAGAAUGGCCACGGACACUAACUUUUAAAAUUAAUAUUUCUUUCUGAUAUAUAUUUUUUCUUAUUAAUGUCAACCAGGUUUUGCCAUUAAAUUAGGAUAACCAUAAUUCUAACAUAAUGAGGCAGCUAGACUUGGAGUCAGAAAGACCUGAAUUUAAAUCCAGACUCAGACUCUUAAACUGGGCAAGUUACUUAACUAUGCUCUGCCUCAGUUUCCUUAUCUAUAAAAUAGAAAAAAUGAUAAUAGCAUCUGACCGCAUUAGUGGUUUUCUUGGCAAAGAUCCUAAAGUGGUUUGCCAUUUCCUUCUGCUGCUCAUUUUCAAGAUGAGGAAACUGAGGCAAGCAGGGUUAAGUGUCUUGCCCAGGAUCACAUAGAACUGGCAAGUGUUGGAAACCCAUAUUUGAACUCAGGUCUUCCUGACACUGAUUCCAGUGCUUUGUCCACUGUACCACCUACUUGUCCUAUAACUAAUAUUCCCUCUCCAUGUGUUGCUUCCUAUCAAACUUCUUUAGUACAGAGGACUGAUUGUCAUUCCAUUUUUCAAACAAUUUCAGGAUCUCAUUAAUUAAUGAAAAAAUAAAAAAAUUCUUGGUCUCACUCAUAAGACCCAAAUCUAGAUUUCAUCAGCUCUUGUAGUCUGUUUCAUGAAUUCUUCCUUAUAUAUACUAUGCUCCAGCCAAAUUGGACUAUGCCAAAAAUCACUAAUUCAUGGAAUUGGAAGAGUCCUCAAAGGUCAUUUAAUUAUGCCUGCAUCGUGAAUCUUCUUUACUUUAUUUCUAAAAAUGGUCCUCAGACUUCUGCAGACCUCACCAAGCCUACCAUAGCUUCCUCUUCUAUUUUUGGACUGCUCUAAUUCUUAGGGAUUUUUUUCCUUACAUUAAACCAAAAUAUGCUUCUGCGUAGCUUCUUUCCUCACUGAUUCUAAUUCUGCUUUUUGUUGUUCUUCAUGAACUCUUUUGGAGUUUUCUUGCCAUUUACUUUUCCUUUUCCAGCUCAUUUUACAAAUAAGGAACCUGAGGCAAGUCACUUAGCCAUGGUCUGACUCAGUUUCCUUGUCUGUAAAUGGAAAUAAUAAUAGCCACUGACCACAUUGGGGCUUCCUUUCAUAAAGAUAUUGGGGUAGUUUCUAGCCUUUUCCUUCUCCUGCUCAUUUUAAAGAUGAGGAAACUGAAGCAAACAGGGUUAAGUGACUUGCCCAGGGUCACACAGCUAGUAAAUGUCUGAAGCCAGAUGUUAACUUGAAAAGGUAAUCUUCCUGACUCUAGAUCUAGCACUCUAUCUACUAUACCACCUAGCUGCCCUCUAAUUCUGCUAACUAGAGCUAAAGAAAAGAAAUCUAAUCUUUCUUCCAAAAGAAAGUCCUUUACAUAUUUGAAGAAAUAAUUAUUAAGAACCUUCUAUGUGCCAAGCACUGUACAAAUAUUAUCUCUUUGAAUCUCACAGCCACUCUGGGAGGAACAUACUAUUAUUCUAUUACUCCCAUUUUUUAGACAACAAGAGGUUAAAUAGCUUGGGUCAAACAGGUAAGACGUCCCUAAGGCCAGAUUUGAACUUAGGACUUCCUGACUCCAUGCCCAGCCUUCUUUCCACUGAAAGACUGUCUGCGUGAUUUCAAAACCUCAAUUUUCUCCUCUCCCAGCAAGUUUUCUCUUUUCCAGACUAAAUAUCACAAAUUCCUUCAACCUAUCUUUCUCCAGCAUGGUUCUGCAUUCCUCCAUUAAAGCUCUUCAUUGUCCCUCUACACCGUGUUGCCUAGAAUGUAGACAGCAGUACCCCAUCUAUGUUCUGAGAAGAGCAGGAUUAAAUGGAAUGAUCAUCUCCAUGAUACACAUUCUAUUUUUUUAAAUCAUAACCCCUAAUCCCAUUAGCUUUUUGAUCUACUCUGCCACACUAUUAACUAAUUUAAUUUAGAACUUACUUAAAACCAUCAGGCCUUUAUCCCCUGAAAAGCUUUUUACCACUCUCAGGACAAAUCAUAUGCUUUCCUGCCUCCAUUUCUGCUUUCACACAUUUCACCCCUGUGACUGGAAUAGCCAUCUUCCCAUCCUUGCCUUUCGAAUCUCACCAAUUCUUCAGGUGCCUUCACUUCCUAGGUGGUCCCAUUUCCAUUCAUUGAUCGCCAUCAACCAAAAGCAAUGUGUAUAGCAAGCUGUUCCUCUCCUAUACUUGUCUUAUUUAUGUUUACUUGUAUCUACUAGGUUGUAAACUCUUUGAGGGCAGGGACCAUGCCAUAUUUACCUUUGGUGCAUAUUUCAUACAUUUAAUAAAUAUUUAAUAAAUGGUCCAUAUUUAAUAAAUGUUUGUCAAAUUAGAUUUCAAUUAGAAUGCAACAUAGAAAGAUACUCAUGGGGAAGGUUUCCAAAAGCAAAUUCAUAGCUACUAAGAAUCACUGAGCAAAAUACUUACAUGAGGGCACCUAGCAGUAAGGGCUAAGGAUGCUGAACAAUUAAUCCUUGUGCGUCAAGAACUUUAUGGGUGAGAACUUUUGACUGGAGGGUUUCUGUAUUUCCACAUAUUCCAUUUUCUUUUCCAGCAACUCAUGCCCAAAUCUUAAUGAACCCAGUUUAGCAGGAUGUCAUUAUUUAAUGAGUCACAGCAUCUGUGAAAUUUUGGAUGGCUGCCCUGUGGUUAUAAGAGCAACUUAGAUAUUUAAAUGCAUACUAGGAUGUUUAUAAUUAAAUGAUAAUUGUCAUCUAGAACUCUGUUUCUCCUGGUACUUAAUAGUUGCACAAGAAAAAAACCAGAGUAGGUUUUUUCUUCUACUCCUAGUUCCUUGACACCCCUAGAUGAUGGAAGCCCAUGGAAUAUAUUGUAACUAGCUACGAUUAAAUGCAGAUUUUCUACUUACUGUACUUAGUGAUUGAAUAUGAUGAAUAAGCAACCUAUAGAAGGGAUUCUUACCUAGGGGGUAGUACAUGUUUUUAUAAAGGCAUUUCAGCCAUUGGUUUCCUUUGUAAUCCUGUAUAUGUGUAUGUGCAUGCAUUUAAAAACAUUAUUCUGAGAAGAGGUCCAUAGGCUUCCUUGGAUUGUCAGAGGUCCAAAAGCCAAAAAACCCUAAACUAUAGCAGUGUUUCAACACUCCAUGGGAUCUAUGAUCUCAUUAAUAGUUUUGCUGUAGAUUGCAACCAAUCUGUGCCUACCAUCUUAGCCCGUUUUUGGCUAUAUCUUGACAUACAUCUGCCACCUUGUGUGUUCUAGGCCAUGCUUAUGUUCUUUUGAACAUAAUAUUUAUUCAAGGAUACCAAAAGAACCCAAUGGCUGUCCAUAAGUUAUUCCUAGCUCUCACUACAUGGCCAGCUUUUCUUUCUUUCUUUUUUUUUUGCUGCAAUGACAUCUUUUAAACACCUUCUCCUGAUUAAUUCUUUUUUUAAAUUAUUAUUAUGCCUUUUGUUUGUAAAAGCCCCAAAUAUUCACUCUAUCAUGACCAUUGAUUGCUAUUUGGCGCACCCUCAAUCUCAGUUUCUCAAGUACUGUAGUUCCUUGACUUCUGCGCAUACACAAUACCAUCAAAAGAAUUUUGUUGUUAAAAAGAUGAAACUUUCUUUCAGGGAAAAAUAUGAGGUCAUUAUAAAAACAAUUAUGUGCCCUAAGGCAAGUCAGCAUGCUCUUCUCCUUUUUGAUACGGGGCCCAGUUCAUUGCCCAUUGGUAGGCUUUGUCCAAGAUCUCUACAUACCUCAGCAAAGUUAAGUUGAUUAGGGUUCUAGAAGGAAGGUCACUGAGCAGAAUCCACAUUCAUUUAAGUCUCCUGACGUCCAGUUAAUGACAUGAUCUGGGUCUGAGCUCUUCCAUCAACAAUUUUUACUCCAUCAUCAACUAGGAAAUUGAGAAUAAUGAUAGUUGUUCCUCAUGGAAGCUCCUAAGGGCUUUGGGGGCUACUCAGGACGAACACUCCCAUUGACCUUCAGUCUGAAUCAGAGUAAAUCAUUGAGGCACAUCUGAAGAGGAGUACCACAAAGCAGUAGGCACCAUCUUUCUCCUCAAUAUCAACAAUCUCUUUUGAAUAGAGCUUUGUAGUUUGAGAGUACUUUCUCACAUCCAUAAUCUCAUUUUAUCUCACUUGAUCCUCACCAUAAUCCUUUGAGGGAAAUGGAGCCCCUAUUACUAUCUCAAUUUAUAAGGAAAUUGAGACCUAGAAUGAUGCCAUUUUCCCAGGGUAACAUCAAAUUAUUGACCUGGUUCUCUUAACUCCUAGUAACAGAAUCUUUGUUGAAAGGACUGAAUGGUCAUCUAGUGCAGCCCCUUGCUCCAAAAAAAAAAUGCAACACAUCUGACCAGUGGUCAUCUUGGAGGGAACCCAUUAUCUCCUGAAGCAGGCAAUUCUUCCUUGGAAAAGUUUUGGUUUUAAGGAAGUUUUUCCUCACAUCAAGCCUAAAACUUCCCCUUUGAAAAUUCCACUUGCUAGUUGUACUUUCUGGGGCUUGGCCAAACAAAUCUAACAAGUCUUCCAUGGGACCUCCCUUCAAAUACUUGAAGACGUCUAUCUUGCCCCUACUAAGCCUUCUGUACUUCAUGCUAAACAUUUUCUGCUUUAAAUGACCCUCAUAUGAUAUUAACUAGAUAUUCCUCAUCAUCCUGGUCAUCUUCUUCUGAACAUUCUAGUUUACAUCUUUUUUUGUAAUGUGAGACCCAGAACUGAUCUGAUCAAAGGUAAUGUAUAUAGUGCUACUGUCUCUGUACUCCUGGAUGCAAUACUUCUCUUAAUGCAAUCUAAGAUUGCUGUUGUUUUACUGGCUGCAAUAACCUAUUGUCAACUCCUGUUGAGUUCAAAGUCUUCCCAAAUGCCAGAUUUUAUUCAGAUAAAUUAUUUUCUACCCAUAUCUCUGCUUUUUUUUGCAACUGUGAACUGAUCACUUGGCUUUUCACAAUGACCUAAUUCAUCUCUCUGUCUCAAAUCUCUCCACACUCUAAUUCAUCCUCUACUCAGCUUCCAAGGUACUACUUCUAAGCCAUAAGUCUGACCAUGUCUCCCUCCUACCCAGAAAUCUCCAGGGGUUCCCUAUUGCCUUUAGGUAUAGAAAUAAAUUCCUCUUUUUGACACUUAAAGCCCUUCCCAACCUGGUCCUUUCCAAACUACAGUCUUCUUACACUUCACUCCCUUCCAUGCACUCUAUGGUCCAGCUGUAUUGGCCACAUUGUUGUUCUUCAUACAUAUGGCAUUCUAUCUCCAGGCUCAGUACAUCUAUUACUAGUUGUCUCCCAUGCUUGGGAUUCUCCUUUUUUCUUUUUUGGUUUCCUUUCUUGCUUGACUCAGGUCAAAUUCCACCUUUUUCAGUUUUUCCUGCUUUCCAUAUACCUCCCACCUUAACCUCUGGCUAGUGCUUUCCUUCUGAGAUUACUUAUAUAGAAACAUAGACAGACAGACAGACAGAUAGAUAGAUAGAUAGAUAGAUAGAUAGAUAGAUAGAUAGAUAGAUAGAUAGAUAGAUAGAUAGAUAUAGAUGGAUAGAUGGAUGGAUAGAAAAAUAGAUAAAUACAUAAACAAUCUAAUACAAGCACACAUAUGUAUCCUGUAUGUACAUAGUUAUUCACAAGUUGUGUCCUUCACUAGAAUGGUAGCUACAUGAGGGCAAGGAUCAUAUUUUUGUCUCUCUUCAUAACUCCAAGUACUUAGUACAGUGGCUGGCACACAGCAAGCACUUCAUAGAAGCUCAUUGUUUGACCAAACCUAAGUGUAAAACUUAUUCCAAUUUGUAAUUAUUCCAAUUUGAAUUUUGGCUCAUUUAUUUCAACCCAACUUUAUAGCCUAUCCAGAUCUUUUUGAAUUCUUACUGUGUUUUUCAGUAUAUUAACUCUCUUACAGAUUUAAUGUCUAUGCUAUCUAUGCCUUUAUACAAGUCAGUGAUGAAACUGAUAAAUAUCACAGGACCAAGCACUAAUUCCUGGGACCUUCCACUGGAGACCUCAUUCCAAUCUAUUAAUUACUAUUCUUGGAAUGUGAAUAUUUAAUCAGUUCCAAAUACAUCUCAUUAUACUGCCAUCUAAUAUAGCUAUAAGAAAAUGUGCCUCACUGUGAAGAUAUAAGUCCAUUUCCUAUGAGAUGAGAAAUCAUUCAGUGGGGAAAAGGAAGAAGAAACAAACAGAGGUUUUUGACAUGUUCUUGAGGAGUUCUGAAAUAACAAUUUGUUAGUCUGAUAGCCAAAUCAGAAAGGCUUGCUGUCUUCCUGGAGUGUGUAUCAAGAAUGUGACAGAGGACCUCCCAAGAUUUGUCAAACUGGUGACCGUCCCACUUUUAUUGACUCACUUGGCACAAAUAAUAUUGGGAGAAAGACUGAAAAGUGCUUCUAAAGUUUAUAAUGUCUUCAGCAAAAGAGAGGAGUAUAGGGACAUAAGUGGUAUAUUUCUUAUGGCUGAUGAUUGAAGACAAGGGCUUAAGAAAAAAAACAUAGAUUUGUAAAGUGAUCAGUUAUUCAAGAAGAUAAAAUCUCUCAUGCUUUGAUGAAAUCUAGAUAAACUAUCAACAAAAAUGCCAUUAUCUACCAGUUUAGAUACUACCAAAAGGGAAAAUAAGUCCAAAAUUUUUAAAAAGAGUCUGCCAUAACAUUUUAGUGAUAAGAUCAGGCUCUUUGUGAUCAUACUUGCUUUUCCAGUUCAGUAACCAUCCCUAAUUAAUAUAUUCCAGAAUUUUUUCAAGAAUCAAAUUCAAUGGCCUAUAGUUUGUGCACUCCUUCUAGAGUUUGUAUCUGAAUUCUGCAUUGAACAUGUUGAGUUUAGGAUAUCUCUGGGACAUCCAGUUGGAAAUGUCCUAAAGGCAGUUGAUUGUGUGGGAUUUGAUUGAUGUUCAAAUUAAUUGGUUUUUUUAAAGCUUUGGAAGGCACUGAGCCUGGAUAAAUAGAUUUGUGAGUUGCACAUAGACAUAAAUUUUUCCAUUCUCUGACCUAAAAUACCUUUUCCAUUCUUCACAAUUAAAAAGAAAUCUCCACAAAAUUUGCAUUCUCCCCAACCCUUUAAAAAAUCACAGAUAGGAAUGCAUUUACAUCCAGCAGUUUUUUUACUGCCUAAGGUUUAAUUACCCAUGCCAGACUACUUGAAGUCAUCAAGGAGCUAGGCACUCUCUUACUAUUUUCCUUCGUCUUAGGUAUGAACUUCCAUUUAGCCAUAUUUGGCCAAUGUUUAUGAGCAGGUAGGUGGUGCUGUGGAUAAAGCAUGGGGUCUAUAAUCAGUUAGAUUCAUCUUCCCAAGUUCAAAUCUGACUACACACACUUACUAGCUAUGUGGCCCUGGGCAAGUCACUUAACCCUGUUUACUUCAGUUCCUCACCUGCAAAAAAGAAGUAGAGAAGGAAAUGGCAAGCUACUCUGGUAUCAUGCCACACAUUUUUGUCUUCAGAAUUUCAUUCUUGAUAAUUGUCCAGUCCUCCUUAGCUGACUUCCCUUAUACAAGUCUAAUCAUUGGAUCUCUUUCUGGUCUUCAUUUUAACUCUGAAACUGCUCUCCCCAAAUCUAGGGAUUCUUCCUGUCCUCCUCUGUCACAAACUCUAAGGUAGUAAUGCUUCCUAUCAUUUCUACCCUGAAUAGAAUUUCACCAUUUGUUCUUCCAAUUUUUGAAGGAUUUAUCAUUAAAUCAAGUCAAGACAUUAUUAGUUUCUCUGUUUUAGCAGUAAGCUUUAGCAGAUUUCCAGAUAACUGAAGUCCACAUGAUUACUACAUUCUGUCUCUAUGUUAAGCUUGCAAUGUUUCCCAAACUCUCCAUCUAUUUCCUCUUUUGGCCCCAAUGAUCUGUGGUAUACUCUGCUGUCAGUUUCUCCUCUGAAUCUGCCUCCAUAUAUCUUUACCCUGAUGCUUCCUCCAUGCUUCCCUUCUCUAGUUCCUGGAUUUCUUCACUAGUAUGUUGUUGUUGUUGUUGUUGUUGUUGUUGUUGUUGUUGUUGUUGUUGUUGUUGUUGUUGUUGUUGUUGUUGUUGUUGUUUAAUACAUAACUCUAUAUCACUUCCCUUUAAUCUACCUUGUUUCUUUUAAAUAACCUUCAAGAUCCAAAUUCCAGUUCUGGAUCUUAUCUCAUCAAUGUAGAAUGAUAUCUACAUGGUUCUACUUUCCUCCUUGAAUUAAUAUCUCUAGUUUCUUUCUCAUUAUGUAUACUUUCUAUAUAUUGGUGAUGACGUCUGAUGUCAUGAGUUUGAUUACUGACUCCUUUAUUAAUUUUUUUUUCUCUUGUGAGCUUCUGAGUGUCUCAACUGAUGAAUUCUUUCUUCAUUGUAACUACUCUAUAUCUAUCUUGGUGGAUGUACACAGGCAGUAUUCUCUCUAUCCCUUCCUUUUCAGAUUAAGAUACUUUUGGUUAGGUUGCCAAAACACCAGGCAAAUGUAACUUUUUUUAAAAACCCUUACCUUCUGUCUUAGAAUUGAUUCUAAGGCAGAAGAACAGUAAAAGCUAUGCAACUGAGGUUAAGUGACUUUCCCAGGGUCUCACAGCUAAGAAGUAUCUGAAGCAAGACUUGAACCCAGCUUCUCUCUACUCCAGGUCUAGGGCUGUAUACAUUAGGUCACCUAGCUGCCCUCAAAAUAUUUUCUUGAUAGCUCUUAAAAGGGUCACUUUGUCCCUGGACAAGAUGGUAAUUCCUGUGAUCCCUAUAUUUUAAGCUGUGGACCCAAAAUCCAGAUCCCAUUCUUAUCAGAUUCUUCUGAACUAGCUAUUCAUUUCCCAAAUCUGUUUCUCUUCUAAAGUCCUAUUUAUAAGUAUUAAAAAAAAAUCACAUCAAUGUUGAAAACACCACCUCUGCCUCAUGUUCAUCCCCUCCUUACCAAAGACAUCCUAAUCUUUAGCAGUACUUUUUUGAUCUCUUCUCAAAGUAUCAUUUGUACCAAGUGAAUAUGCAUAAGUGGAUAGUAGUCAUGCAGGUUCAUGAAUCUUGGAAGGUCCUCUGGCCUAUUCUAGAUUAUAUACACACCAGUAAUUUAGCAGCUCUCUCUACUUUUGUUAUCAGAUUAACAAAUGUCUGCCUUAAUAUCCCUCAAUAAGCAAGACACCAACCACCACUUAUUUUCUCUUCAGUCCUCACUAGAUGACCUGAGAGUGCCUACAUAUCUAUAUUUUAAUUUCUUGGAAGAUGAGCUGCUGCUUUUUCUCCAAGCAUCAAGCCCCAUCCUCUUUGGAAAGAGCCUCAGUUUCGUGUUCUUAGCUCCAAGUGUUCAGUGGUCCUUCUCAUUCUCUUUUAUGUGAUGCUUUCCCACUCUUAACAUCUCAAUCCAGGUCAGGAUUCCCCUAUGAUAUUAUGGAUAGUUUCUCUUCUUUGGUUUCACACUGAUGUCCUACUUUUAAAGAACACUGGCUACCAUUGUUGCUGGUAUUAUAGAAAGGGAUGAUACCAGCCCACUUUUUAAGCAGUCACUUGGUCACAGCAGACUAACAGAUAUUGAAAUUUCUAAUGAACCACCAUUAAACUUUGCUGCUCAUCUCAACCCUGGUGCCCAGGCUCCCUUCACAGCCACACAAGCAAAGAACCGUCAUGUUAUGGUGAUGCUGCCAUGUUCUCCUUAUGAUGUUUGAUCCUCUACUAUAUCCCCUCAGUCUCAAAGGCUAUAUGUUGUAGAUUCUUAUUCAGCUACUAGUUUAACUUGGUGAUCUCUGAGAUCCCUAAACUCUUUGAAUUUGUCAUUUUGAUCAAGAAAGGAAAGGUACAAGUCAAAGAGAAGGUCACAGUUGUACAGCUAAAAUAAAUAGCAUUUAACCUCAACACGGAUUCAUUGAGAACCCUACAAAUACAAAUCCAAGCUUGUGUCAAAAGAGAAAUUAAACAAACUUGGACUUAAGGAAAAUCACUUAUGGUGGAGGAUUCCUUGGAAAGGAGAAGUCUUGAGGGAGGAAGACAAGUUAGAAGGCCAAUGCAAUAGUCUAGGUGAGAGGUGAUGAAGACCUGAACCAAGAUGGCAGAGAAGGAAUUAGAUGCCAGAGAUGUAAUAGGAAAAGAAGGAUUCACUGAUUGAUAAGUUAUAUACUACUGAAGCUAUGGGUGCCAUGGUCUUUUAAGAAUCUGUUCAAGAUAAGAAAAAUGGAUUUUAAUCUGCUUUACAUCCCCAUGUCUACAACAAUAAAAACAAACCUCACUUUUUCCUAUCUUAAACGCUAGCUGCUAUCCUGUAUCUUUCCACCUCUUUGGGGCUUAACUUCUUGAAAAUGUCAUCUCUAAUGCCUUCUAUUCUCUCACUACGUUCUAAACCCUUUUUGGUCUGACUUCUGACAUCAUUGAAAUGAAACUGCCCUCUCUAAAGUUACCAAUAAUCUCUUAAUUGCCAAAUCAAAUAGCCUUUUUGUAAUCUUCAUCUUUCUUGACCUCUCUGCAGCCUUUGGUAUUGUUGAUCAUCCUAUUCUCAAUGCUAUCCUCUCCUUAGGUUUUUAUAACAUUGUUCUUUUUUUUCCCCCUCUUCCAAAUGUCUGAGUGCUCCUUUUCAACCUCCUUUGCUGCUUCUUUAUCUCUAUAUCUUUAUGCCUCUUAACUGGAGGUAUUCUCCAAGACUCCCUUUUCUCUUCUGUCUUUAUACCCUCUCACUUGGCUCUGUUAUCAUGUGUAUAGAGGUGAUUCCCAAAUCCCCAUAUCUAGCCCCCAUCUCUCUCCUGAACCUUAGUCCUUACAUCACCAACUGCCUUUUAGACAUCUCAAAUUGGAUGCCCCAUCAGAAUCUCAAACUCAAUAUAUCUAUAAUACUCAUUAUCUUCCCUUCUCCCCCCAAACCUCCCUUUCUCACAAUUUUCCUAUUCGCUUUCAUGGCUCCAUUUUCCCGGCCACCAGUGUUUACAGCCAUGGAAUCAUCCUCAGUUCCUCAUUUGAACUUACCCCAUAUUUCCAAUGAAUUGUCAAGUCUUAUUUCUAUCUUCAUAGUUAUCUCUUGCUGCAUCCCCUAUAAUGCAGCCCCUUAUCAUCUCUUAUAUGGUUGAUGUUUUAAAACUCUUAUCACUAAUUCUUGAUUUCAAGACAGAAGAGCAAUAUGAGCUAGGCAUUUCAGGGUAAGUGACUUGCCCUCAAGGGUCACACAGCUAGGAAUUAUCUGAGGUCAGAUUUGAACCCAGGAUCUCUCAUCUCCAGACCUGGCUUUCUCACAUGAAUUUUAUCAAUAACGUGCUAAUCCACCUCAAGCCUCUUUCCUCAGAUCCACCUUCCCCUCAGCUGCCAAAGGGAUUUUCCUAAAGUGCAAUUCUGACAAUGUCACCAUCCUUCCCAAUUAACUCCAGUAGCUUUGUUACCUCAGAUAGCACCUAUGAAAUCCUCCGUUGGCAUUUCAAAUUCUAUUUCUAUUCUUCUUACAAUUUAUUCCCAUCCACACACUCAGAGAUGUCUGCUAUCCGUGUUAGCCUGCUUGCCAGCCUACAUGACAUUUUCACUCACUGUCCCCCAUCCCUAGAAUGCUCCACUGCCUCACCUGGACCUCCUGCCUACCUUCCUCGACUUCCUUCCAACCAACUCCAAUGCCACCUUCUGGAUUCCUUUCUUGUCAUCUCUGGUCUCCCAAUAGAGCCUUCCUUCUGAGAUUACCUUCCAUUUAUACUAUCUAUCUUGUAUAUAAAUUGUUGUUCCCAACUCCUCAAGACCCCAUGGACCAUCCUAACCAUAGGAUUUUCUUGGUAAAAAUACUACUGGGGUUUGCCAUUUAAACAGAGGUUGACUU